CACGGGUGGGCGGGAAACAGUUUCCGGCCCAGGUGAAGGCAGGAUUGGAGCUGAUCUCACUUGAUUCCCAGCCGAAGAAUAACCUGUUUCCGGGCCGGGGAUUUAGCUCAGUGGUUCCGCCGCCUGCCUCACAGGCCCAAGGACCCAAGUUCGAUCCCCGGUAUCAAAAAAAAAAAAAAAAAAGAGUAACGUGUUUCCUCCCCUCCCCUCCGGUAUGAGUGCUGCAAGUUCUGCCUCGGGCGAAGUGUCUGUAAUUCCCACCAAAGACCUGGGGAGUUUCUGAGAUUCGUUCAGUGGCACACUAGUAGCUGAUGAGGAAGACCGGCCGAGACCUGAAACCAUCUAACUCCUACAGGACUUAAUCAAUCAGAUAAAAAUGACAAGACUGUAAUGCACCUUUCUGCAGUUCAUCUUCCGGCAGCAGCAAGCAUAGAGACAGUGGCUUUGCCUCCCUCUGAGCUCUGGGGAGAAAGAGUCCAUAGCUACUCCCAAUAACAUGGUGUGCAGAGUUUCUGCAAAAUGCUAAGAGUGGAGGUACACUGUUCUCUGCACAAACGUGAG
rnacentral:lncRNA from 1 species